AUUGAACGCUGGCGGCAGGCCUAACACAUGCAAGUCGAGCGGAUGAAGGGAGCUUGCUCCCGGAUUCAGCGGCGGACGGGUGAGUAAUGCCUAGGAAUCUGCCUGGUAGUGGGAGACAACGUUUCGAAAGGAACGCUAAUACCGCAUACGUCCUACGGGAGAAAGCAGGGGACCUUCGGGCCUUGCGCUAUCAGAUGAGCCUAGGUCGGAUUAGCUAGUUGGUGAGGUAAUGGCUCACCAAGGCGACGAUCCGUAACUGGUCUGAGAGGAUGCACAGUCACACUGGAACUGAGACACGGUCCAGACGCCUAGGGGAGGCAGCGGUGGGGAAUAUUGGACAAUGGGCGAAAGUCUGAUCCAGCCAUGCCGCGUGUGUGAAGAAGGUCUUCGGAUUGUAAAGCACUUUAAGUUGGGAGGAAGGGUUGUAGAUUAAUACUCUGCAAUUUUGACGUUACCGACAGAAUAAGCACCGGCUAACUCUGUGCCAGCAGCCGCGGUAACAC
rnacentral:rRNA from 1 species